CUUAGGUCUGUGCUUUUAUGGAGAGGAAAUGGAAACUGAAACUGAUGCGAUGCCGUCAGGAUUCCUGGUGAGGAGAAAUGAAACUAAGCUCCUGAGCCUUAAGAUGGAAUGGCCCUCUGGCUACUUUCCCAGGAGACCAGACCAAGGGAUGCCAGCAAGAAUCUCAGAGCAAGACCUGAAGAAAUGACUCACUGCCCUUACCUCACCUCCGACCAAGGAGCUCUCAUCAUGAGCCCCCUAAUCCAUAGUGUCUUGUGAUUUUGCCCUGUAUAAUCUGUAACCUACACACCAUCAGGGUGUCAGGGCUUUUGCUCAAAAGCUUCCUGUUCUCCUGGGUGGCACCAUUCAUCAUAAAAUAGCCAGUAUUUCUCCCCUGCA